rnacentral:rRNA from 1 species
GACGAACCGUACGAACGUUAUUCGGAAUCACUGGGCUUAAAGGGUGCGUAGGCGGCGCGACAAGUUGGGUGUGAAAUCCCUCGGCUCAACCGAGGAACUGCGCCCAAAACUGUCGUGCUCGAGGGAGACAGAGGUGAGCGGAACUUAGGGUGGAGCGGUGAAAUGCGUUGAUAUCCGGAGGAACACCGACGGCGUAGGCAGCGCCCUAGACGAGACCUGACGCUCAGGCACGAAAGCGCGGGGAGCGAACAGG